UUUUCAGGGCUUGUGCGGCACGCUUGGGCAAGCGCAACAAAGGCAUUCCUGGGGACGUCCGUCUUGUUUUCCAAAUUGGACAUUUGGAACGCGAUCAACUUGGGUUAAUUCAGGUGGGACUGGCUGGCUGGUGAAUGCCUUUGUAGGAGAAUGGAGAUUGCUGAAAUUGAUAUACUGGAGGAUGGAUGGCAGAUGGACUCUAAUCAAGUGCUUGAGACGUCUCAAUGAUGAUCAAAGGACCCAGGAUGCACAUCAGCUCAGUUUGAAGCGUGAUAGCGUGAAUAUUUAUGUAUACAAGACAUUUCUGUUUUUUAUUUUCAUUAAAUUGGCAAACAUUUUCCCAAACACUUUUUCAUUAUGGGUUAU